UUUGAAUUUGAAUGUAAUGUAAGAUUUUGAAUUUAUUUUCAUUGAAUCUGUUUCUGUUUUUUAUUUUGGAAAGAGGGGAGAGAAAAAAAUUCGAAGAAGAAAAGUAGAGAGGAAGACCGGAAGCAGAGAACGUGGGAGAGGAGGAGCCCUUCAGCUACCAUACACCGCCGCUUCACCGUCGUCACCGCCGGAAAGGACCAUAGCCAUCGUGCCCCUCACCUGGUCUUGCUUUGCCCCCUUAUCUGUUCUGCCUCUGCCAUGGGAUUUAUUUUGAUAAAUUUAUUUUUUUAAUUGCUAUUUUGCUAUUUUUUCUUUCUGUUCUUCCCCUGCCAUUAAAAAUCAUGAGACAGAAGUGCAAGUAUGAACUUAAGAUUCCAUGAUGCAAAUGCCGUGUCACUAGCAUUUAGUGUUCUUGAGAAGCUUAUUAAGCUUUUAUGGAGCAGUUGGCAACAAGUUCAGGACAUCCAUCAAGAAAAUGGAGAGCUCUGAGAUCCUUAUACCAUCCAUAUUUUUUGCAGAGGUCAUUUUUCUUUUUUAAAAGUAGAAAUUUUUUUCUUCUUUCUUUUUAAUAAAAUUACAGAAAAUAUCGUUAGGGUUCGAGAUGCAAGCAAAGGAAUCGCCGGAGGAAGGUCAGUUCCGUCGCUAGCCUAGUGAAGAGUUAGCCUAGAAAGGCUUUGAAAGCAAGUCAAACAUUCCAAUCCCAGCGUUUGAGUCAAUAGCUAUUGAAUAUAGUUCGUGACUGACCCUAGAAGUCAAUUCACUCUCCUCGAUAAGCCUAAUAACCAGACAAAGAAUUCGAUCUGCUUCUAAUCCUGUGAUGAAUGAAAUAGAAAUAGAGGAAUUCAAUCCAAUACUAAAUAGACUUAUUACGGAUCUACGCCUUUACCUUGGACUACUUUAGAGCUCCUUUUGUAUUGUAUGCCGCUUUAUCCUGCUCAGUAGAAUCCAAAUUCUCUUUCCGUUGACUUGAAACUUGACUUUCUCAGUAGCUCCCCUGUAAGUUACAAAUCUUACUAGCAGCUGUAAGGCCUUUGGAAGCAAGUCCGUUUAACUUGGUUACAUCUAACUAAAACCUCAAUCUCACCGGACCAUGAACCGAAAAGAAAACUCAUCCUCAUAUGAUUGCAAAAUAUGUCAUUGAAAUUAGUAUUACCAGGAUGUUUAAGUCAAUUUCGAAGUCUUCAUCUCUGCCGGGAUUCAACAAAGCUUGCUUGAGAUUUGUUGCUUGCCUACCUAAUCUGACAAAGUUGGAACAAAACCAGCAACCUUUGACUCGCUUCGAGUCAAUCAAUUCAAGACUGCUCUGCAACCAUACUUUGGCAUAUGACUUCUGACCAAAACGAAUUCCAUCCUUAACUAAUUUUUCUUUAUCCUACAUUCUGUUGAACUUCAAUCAUCAAUCUCUUGAAUUCUCUCUGUACCGAGGUCUAAGUCAAUAGCAAGACCAAGAAAAAAAGAUGAGCUUUCUGCUUACUUCUUUCUCUGGUCAGGAAAGUCAGUAACGUAAUCACUGGCUUCUCUAUCCGAGUAUGGCCUCAAUCUAAAUAGUGAACUCGGGCUCUCACUUUCUGCCCGGAUUGGUAAGAAGUACUUAGACUGAUACUUCUGGGACUGCUUAGGGGUCAACUUCCAAUGAAUUCAAUCAGCUCCCUCUUUUAACCGUAAGUCAAACUGAGGAUAAGGUUGCAGCUGUUUGAGGAGUCUGUUGAAGUUUCAUAUCUUUCCGCCUAUUAGACAGUUAAGACUGACUGUUUGAAGUGAUAGUUAGAGGGACUUUUCUCAACUACAACUGUUUGGGACGCUCCGGCACCUUAAAUGCGAGAAGUGCGCUAUUUCCCCAAUCCAAAUAGUCAAAACUCACGUAAUCGUAAUAAGAAGAGUUGCUUCCUCCCUUUUUCUUCAGUUAAGUUCAGUCAAAUCCGAAGCAGCUGCGCCUAUUGAAAGAAGAAAUCAUCCCUCGUCCUUUUACCUGGACUCCAUUCUUUGUCUAGAAGGAUAAUGGGAUCCAGACUAUAAUCAAGCUAUGAUCGUCAAACUUCAUAUAGAAAGAUCAGGUUAUUGCGCAUCAUCCGGUCUAUCACUCCAUUUGAGAGUGACAUAAGCCUGCCUUUCCCUUAUGGGAAGGAAUAAACUUCACCGCAGGGAACUGGCCUCACAGAGCAUCAUAGUCAGCACGAUAGCUCCAUAGUAGCCACGGUAGCUUUAGUUAUUACAGGAGAACGCACCCAUUCAUGCAGAGGAUCUACCGGGAUUAUCGACUCCCCUAAUGUAUAGGGCAGGAGCCAGUGUUGGCUUGUGCGAAGUUGACAGGGGUGGUUGAUAAACACGUAUUAUUGGGAUGGGGCAGCAGGAAAUGGAUACAGUUCCCCCAUCGGAGCCUGCUGUUGGUAGGCCUCUGUACAAGUGAUUGGUUUCGGCAAGCGUUCCGGCACCGGAACACCAGAAACCGAGGCUUGAUCCGUUUGCGGGUACUCCACAGGGAUGAUCGUUCUGGAUUAUGGCUGUCGCCAUAUGCCGACGAAGCGACUAGACUUCCCUGCACCAACAACACCUUUGAGAAGCUCGCUAAGGCAGGGAAGAAAAAUUAUCUGCCUGUAAGGAUCUUGGAGCUGAUGUUGCCAUCAAUUAUAAGACAGACUCCCUUGCACGAGUGAAGGAAGAAACAGGAAAGAAAGGUUUUGAUGUCAUAUGGGUCAAAUUGUAGGAUUGUACCUUCAGCGAAACCUCGACAGCUUAAACUUUGAUGGAAGGCUUUUCCUCAUUAGCAUAAUGGGUGGAGCUAUAGGAGAAGUAAAUAUGAACAGUAUGCUCAAUAGGCACGUCACAACUCAAGACAGAAAUGGAUGGUGAAACAGUAGUACAUCUCGGAGGUUGCCAUUGCCAGAGUGUGGUGGAAAAUGGUUGCUCCUUCAAAUGAUGUUGCAUGGGAAUGCAUCUGCUCUUAUUGCUCCAUGAUAAAUUUCAGUUUUUAGGGGAUUCUUCCAAGUUUAUUACAACUUAUACCUUAGGCACUCAUAUCAGCACCACUCGCACUCAACACUAUGAAUGCAUACUGCGUUUUUAGUCCUUUUAUAUGAGAUCUUAUUUGAUGUUUUGUGUUCUCCAUUUAGAUUUGCUCUUUUGCAAAUCACUUAACACAGAUAUUUUUAUGCUUUUUGGCCAAGAGAGGUGGUUUUUGAGUUGU